UACGGGGGGGGCAAGCGUUGUUCGGAAUUACUGGGCGUAAAGGGCUCGUAGGUGGCCAACUAAGUCAGACGUGAAAUCCCUCAGCUUAACUGGGGAACUGCGUCUGAUACUGGAUGGCUUGAGUUUGGGAGAGGGAUGCGGAAUUCCAGGUGUAGCGGUGAAAUGCGUAGAUAUCGUCAAGAACACCUAUAGCGAAGGCAGCUUACUAGGCUGUAACUGACGCUGAGGCACGAAAGUGUGGGGAUCAAACAGG
rnacentral:rRNA from 1 species